GCCUCUGAACAUAGCCCAGUUAGUAGAACAUGAGACUCUUAAUCUCAGGGUUGUGGGUUCGAGCCCCAUGUUGAGCA